GAGAUGGACGGAACCUACCUUCAUUGGCGG
rnacentral:piRNA from 1 species